AACCAAGCUGUGGAGAGCCAACAGCUCUAUAAGUAUUAAGAUGGACAACUUGGAUUUCCUAGGAAAGGGUUAAGUGAAAUAUUGUAGAGCUUGCUGCCCAGCUCUGAAGAAGCUAGGCGUAGGAGAAAGUGAUAAGAACAGCACAAGGACACGGAGCUAGGGAAAAGAAAACACGGGACUGUCUCAAGGCCUGGGGAAUUUCCAGCUGUGCCUUAUGUAAGAUGUUUUCUAUUCUCGAGUGCUAUAAAAGAGAGCAAUAAAGUCAAUAAAGCAGCUCGGUAACAGAGAGCCCUCCCGACUCUGUCUUUUCUUUCUCUUCUCAAUCCUCCCUUCCCCAUUCAGGAACCGUUCGACAGGUGACAGCGGGCUCCGUCACCAAGCAAAAAUAGUGGCAACGUUUCACUUUAAUUGAGGCUCUCACGAGAAGUCUCCAUCCGGGUCCUGAGAAUUAUUUGGCCCGUAUGUCCUGCGACCGGGCCACUUACACCCUCAACCAACCUGCCUAACUGCCUCACGAGGACUGAAACUUAAGCAAACUGGGCCAAGAUCGAUCUCUCCUCCUUCAAGUUGCAGAUGUCAAGUGUUUAGUCCCAAAGACAAGGAGAGUGACUAAUUUGACCUUGAAAAUCCAUUUAAUUUACUACAUUAACAGAAAAGAAUCACAGGAUCAUUUGGCUGCAAAAAAAAUAAUUUUAUAAAAUUCAACAUCUAUUCAUGAUAAACAGAAACCAAGAGAAGUUCUUUAAUGUGAUAGAUGGCAUCUGCAGAAAAUAACUUCAUCAGACCUCACAUUUAAUGUUGAAGCAUUAGAUUUCCUCCAGAGAUAGAGACUGUCACAGCAUAUCCACCACUGCUGCUUACAUCCAACACUGUCCUGAUUGUCUGAAGCAAUGCAAUAAGAAGUAUCCCAAACCGCCAUUAGGGAAGAAAGGGUGAAGACCAAACUCUGGCUGCUUUGUGCUGAGAAGGGUCAACGUAGAGGAGACGGCAGCCAUGAUUUUCUUCAGCAUGUUCAUCGCUGGAUCCAUUUGGAGUUUGACAGCCUCUAGGAGGGAAUAAACAAAUUUCACCAAGAGAUUAAGAGUGUAUGACCCAAACAUAACCAGAGGGAAAAGACAG